UUAUAAAAGUUGUUCGGCAUUUUGUUUACUUUUAGAUUAGAAAUGUCAGAGUCGCACAUUGACGUAAAAUGCUAUUUCACGAAAUUUACUGCAAUUUCAUCAAGGUGCAAAAUAUGUAGCAAUGUUUACAAGCAUCAUAACAAUACUACAAAUUUACGAAACCACCUGAAACGUAAACAUUCAGAAUUUUUAAAUAUGGGAUUGGCACAAAACAAGAGUCAAAAACGUCUAAAAGUGAUAAAUAACAAAGGUUCAAAAGAGGAUCAAGAUCAGACCCAGACUACUACAUCGUCACUACAGAAUGAUGUUUCUACAUCAUCACUACACAAUGAUGUCGAAAAGAGCGAGACAAAUUUAUCAGAAGCAACAACAGUAACUCUCUGUGAUCUUACUGAUCUUAGUGAAAUAGAUGCAUUGCCCAGUUUCGAAAAAUCUACCCUUAAGUUCAAACAAAAUGACAUAGUAUCAGCUUUCGAUGAAAUAAAUUCAUUUUCAGGUGGAAGAAUGAAUGCUAAAAUAACCAAUGCUUUGAUUUAUAUGAUCACAG